UCCCCCAGUAGCGGCGAGCGAACGGGGAGGAGCCCAGAGCCUGAAUCAGCAUGUGUGUUAGUGGAAGCGUCUGGAAAGGCGCGCGAUACAGGGUGACAGCCCCGUACACAAAAGCGCACAUGCUGUGAGCUCGAUGAGUAGGGCGGGACACGUGGUAUCCUGUCUGAAUAUGGGGGGACCAUCCUCCAAGGCUAAAUACUCCUGACUGACCGAUAGUGAACCAGUACCGUGAGGGAAAGGCGAAAAGAACCCCGGCGAGGGGAGUGAAACAGAACCUGAAACCGUGUACGUACAAGCAGUGGGAGCCUCUCUUUAUGGGGGGUGACUGCGUACCUUUUGUAUAAUGGGUCAGCGACUUAUAUUCUGUAGCAAGGUUAACCGCAUAGGGGAGCCGAAGGGAAACCGAGUCUUAAUUGGGCGUUAAGUUGCAGGGUAUAGACCCGAAACCCGGUGAUCUAGCCAUGGGCAGGUUGAAGGUUGGGUAACACUAACUGGAGGACCGAACCGACUAAUGUUGAAAAAUUAGCGGAUGACCUGUGGCUGGGGGUGAAAGGCCAAUCAAACCGGGAGAUAGCUGGUUCUCCCCGAAAGCUAUUUAGGUAGCGCCUCGUGAACUCAUCUCCGGGGGUAGAGCACUGUUUCGGCUAGGGGGCCAUCCCGGCUUACCAACCCGAUGCAAACUGCGAAUACCGGAGAAUGUUAUCACGGGAGACACACGGCGGGUGCUAACGUCCGUCGUGAAGAGGGAAACAACCCAGACCGCCAGCUAAGGUCCCAAAGUCAUGGUUAAGUGGGAAACGAUGUGGGAAGGCCCAGACAGCCAGGAUGUUGGCUUAGAAGCAGCCAUCAUUUAAAGAAAGCGUAAUAGCUCACUGGUCGAGUCGGCCUGCGCGGAAGAUGUAACGGGGCUAAACCAUGCACCGAAGCUGCGGCAGCGACACUUUAGUGUUGUUGGGUAGGGGAGCGUUCUGUAAGCCGUUGAAGGUGUCCUGUGAGGGGUGCUGGAGGUAUCAGAAGUGCGAAUGCUGACAUAAGUAACGAUAAAGCGGGUGAAAAGCCCGCUCGCCGGAAGACCAAGGGUUCCUGUCCAACGUUAAUCGGGGCAGGGUGAGUCGACCCCUAAGGCGAGGCCGAAAGGCGUAGUCGAUGGGAAACGGGUUAAUAUUCCCGUACUUGGUGUUACUGCGAAGGGGGGACGGAGAAGG
rnacentral:rRNA from 1 species